rnacentral:rRNA from 1 species
GAGUUUGAUCCUGGCUCAGAUUGAACGCUGGCGGCAGGCCUAACACAUGCAAGUCGAGCGGAAACGAGUUAACUGAACCUUCGGGGAACGUUAACGGCGUCGAGCGGCGGACGGGUGAGUAAUGCCUGGGAAAUUGCCCUGAUGUGGGGGAUAACCAUUGGAAACGAUGGCUAAUACCGCAUAAUAGCUUCGGCUCAAAGAGGGGGACCUUCGGGCCUCUCGCGUCAGGAUAUGCCCAGGUGGGAUUAGCUAGUUGGUGAGGUAAUGGCUCACCAAGGCGACGAUCCCUAGCUGGUCUGAGAGGAUGAUCAGCCACACUGGAACUGAGACACGGUCCAGACUCCUACGGGAGGCAGCAGUGGGGAAUAUUGCACAAUGGGCGCAAGCCUGAUGCAGCCAUGCCGCGUGUAUGAAGAAGGCCUUCGGGUUGUAAAGUACUUUCAGCAGUGAGGAAGGUGGGUAUGUUAAUAGCAUGCUCAUUUGACGUUAGCUGCAGAAGAAGCACCGGCUAACUCCGUGCCAGCAGCCGCGGUAAUACGGAGGGUGCGAGCGUUAAUCGGAAUUACUGGGCGUAAAGCGCAUGCAGGUGGUUUGUUAAGUCAGAUGUGAAAGCCCGGGGCUCAACCUCGGAAUUGCAUUUGAAACUGGCAAACUAGAGUACUGUAGAGGGGGGGUAGAAUUUCAGGUGUAGCGGUGAAAUGCGUANAGAUCUGAAGGAAUACCGGGUGGCGAAGGCGGCCCCCCUGNNCAGAUACUGACACUCAGAAUGCNAAAGCGUGGGGGAGCAAANCAGGAUUAAAUACCCUGGUAGUCCACGCCNGUAUAACNAUGUCUAUCUUGGGAGGGUUGGNGGCUCUU